GGAACUGAGACACGGUCCAAACUCCUACGGGAGGCAGCAGUAAGGAAUCUUGCACAAUGGAGGAAACUCUGAUGCAGCGAUGCCGCGUGAGUGAAGAAGGCCUUUGGGUUGUAAAGCUCUUUCGUCGGGGAAGAAAAUGACUGUACCCGAAUAAGAAGGUCCGGCUAACUUCGUGCCAGCAGCCGCGGUAAUACGAAGGGACCUAGCGUAGUUCGGAAUUACUGGGCUUAAAGAGUUCGUAGGUGGUUAAAAAAGUUGGUGGUGAAAUCCCAGAGCUCAACUCUGGAACUGCCAUCAAAACUUUUUAGCUAGAGUAUGAUAGAGGAAAGCAGAAUUUCUAGUGUAGAGGUGAAAUUCGUAGAUAUUAGAAAGAAUACCGAUUGCGAAGGCAGCUUUCUGGAUCAUUACUGACACUGAGGAACGAAAGCAUGGGUAGCGAAGAGGAUUAGAUACCCUCGUAGUCCAUGCCGUAAACGAUGUGUGUUAGACGUUGGAAAUUUAUUUUCAGUGUCGCAGCGAAAGCAAUAAACACACCGCCUGGGGAGUACGACCGCAAGGUUAAAACUCAAAUGAAUUGACGGGGACCCGCACAAGUAGUGGAGCAUGUGGUUUAAUUCGAAGAUACGCGCAGAACCUUACCAACACUUGACAUGUUCGUCGCGACUCUAAGAGAUUAGAGUUUUCGGUUCGGCCGGACGAAACACAGGUGCUGCAUGGCUGUCGUCAGCUCGUGUCGUGAGAUGUUGGGUUAAGUCCCGCAACGAGCGCAACCCUCACUUUUAGUUGCCAUCAUUAAGUUGGGCACUCUGAAAGAACUGCCAGUGAUAAGCUGGAGGAAGGUGGGGAUGACGUCAAGUCCUCAUGGCCCUUACGUGUUGGGCUACACACGUGCUACAAUGGCAUCUACAACAGGAAGCAAAACGGCAACGUUAAGCAAAUCCCGAAAAGAUGCCUCAGUUCGGAUUGCACUCUGCAACUCGAGUGCAUGAAGCUGGAAUUACUAGUAAUCGUAGAUCAGCGUGCUACGGUGAAUGCGUUCCCGGGUCUUGUACACACCGCCCGUCACACCAUGGGAGUUGGUUCUACCUUAAGGCAAGGUUUAAACCCUUGACCACGGUAUAGUCAGCGACUGGGGUGAAGUCGUAACAAGGUAGCCGUAGGGGAACCUGCGGCUG
rnacentral:rRNA from 1 species